AAUAUUGGUCAAUGGACGCAAGUCUGAACCAGCCAUGCCGCGUGCGGGAUGAAGGNCCNNUGGGUNGNAAACCGCUUUUACACNNNNNCAACCGCAGCUACGUGUAGCUGCCUGCGCGUACCGUGGGAAUAAGGAUCGGCUAACUCCGUGCCAGCAGCCGCGGUAAUACGGAGGAUCCAAGCGUUAUCCGGAAUCAUUGGGUUUAAAGGGUCCGUAGGCGGACUUAUAAGUCAGCGGUGAAAGUUUUUGGCUUAACCAAAAAAUUGCCGUUGAUACUGUAGGGCUUGAAUUUUUGUGAAGUAACUAGAAUAUGUAGUGUAGCGGUGAAAUGCUUAGAUAUUACAUGGAAUACCAAUUGCGAAGGCAGGUUACUAACAAACGAUUGACGCUGAUGGACGAAAGCGUGGGUAGCGAACAG
rnacentral:rRNA from 1 species